AGCACUGGAGUAAAUUUCUAGCCCAAAGCCAACAUGGUUAACAUUGCGUCCUGACUUUGGGCCACUGACAGCAAUUGACUGUCUAAGAAUCUGCCACUAGAAGGACCUGCUUUGUCUGCAACGCAAAUGCCAACGAAGGAUGCCAAGCCUGUGUUUAGGUGAGCGGCAAGUACUUGCAUAACAUACUUGCAGCCCAAAAGUAAAACAGGACUGGCAACAAUGCCGCAGGAUUGCUGUGUGGCCAACGAGGCGGGCGGAUCAUCUGCAUAUAUUUAUGUACUCGCAUAUAGUCGCUUCGCACAAAGGAGUCGUUGGCCCAAAGAAAACCGCACACAUGUGGCGAGGUUUGUAGAUUAA
ensembl:ncRNA lncRNA:CR44650 long non-coding RNA:CR44650